ACGGAGGCAGCAGUGGGGAAUAUUGGACAAUGGGGGAAACCCUGAUCCAGCGACGCCGCGUGAGUGAAGAAGUAUUUCGGUAUGUAAAGCUCUAUCAGCAGGGAAGAUAAUGACGGUACCUGACUAAGAAGCCCCGGCUAACUACGUGCCAGCAGCCGCGGUAAUACGUAGGGGGCAAGCGUUAUCCGGAUUUACUGGGUGUAAAGGGAGCGUAGACGGAAGGCCAAGUCUGAUGUGAAAACCCAGGGCUCAACCCUGGGACUGCAUUGGAAACUGGUCAUCUAGAGUGCAGGAGGGGUAAGCGGAAUUCCUAGUGUAGCGGUGAAAUGCGUAGAUAUUAGGAGGAACACCGGUGGCGAAGGCGGCUUACUGGACUGUAACUGACGUUGAGGCUCGAAAGCGUGGGGAGCAAACAGGAUUAGAUACCCUGGUA
rnacentral:rRNA from 1 species